CCUGACUGUGCAGAUUCAUGCUGGCUGCUGGGCUAUUCAUAUGUGCAACUAAAGGUGUAUGAAAAGGCAUGUGAUGCAUUUCUUGAUGGUCUCAAAUUGAAGCCAGGGUUUGUUGGAAUCGAGAAGGCGUUAAGGGAAGCUCUGAGAUUAUUGAAAGAAUCUCACGCUGACAAGAAGAACGGCUCGGAAGGACAAUAUCGUGAAGCACGUUUUUUUUUCCUUUGAAGAGAGCAAUUUGAGACGUCUUGACUCUUUUGACAAAUUGCCUGCUGCGUGCUGAAGGUGAAGAACGUGGUGCUUGAUUGCCGGUUGGACUGUAGGUUCUUUGUGUCUGCGGCU